AUAAUCCAUUUUAAAGCGAGAAAACAAGAUAAUUCAAGGGAAAAAUGUAUGACUCUAAAUUUGUAAACCAGACAGGAUCUGCUAAUACGGGGCAGAAUGUUAAAAAGAGGAUGAAUUUUGAUUUCAGAAAAUUUAGAAGAAAAUGGAUUUCUCAGGCAACUGAAAGAACAUAUUUGGAUCUGUUAAGAUGAAAGGAGACUUCAAGAGAACUGGACUUUGUGUUGGACAGGCUGUCUGUGACAGGGAAAAACCCCUUCUGAAUGAUUAGGGAUGAAUCAGUUAACUGGCUUGAGUUUCACAUUCUUCAUCUGUAAAAUCUGGUGAUUAGACUGGUCCAGCAAAAGAUAUAAUGGGCAAAAGAUAUAAUACACAUAAAUUGGAAUGAAUCUGCAUUUUCCAAGCCUGAUGACUUUAUUAAAACUGAAUUAAGUCACUAACUAGCAGCCUGAAGAUGAAAGGAAAGAACUCAGUCAUGCUUCUUAAGGUAAAAGGGCAGUCUAACUGAGAAUUUUGUUAUCUCUGAGGACAAAUUACAAGGAGAUAAAGACACUCAAGAUCACAAGGAAGGCUUCUGCUCCCACUUAGAGACUGCAAUGUAAGGUAUGGAAACAGAAUAUUCUCUAUAGAAACAUACAUGUUAAAAUAUGAACAUUUUUGUUCUUAUUUCAAUCCAAAAAUAAAUAAAUGAAUU
rnacentral:antisense_RNA from 1 species